AUUGAAUACUAUAAAAUUACAAAAAUUUUCAUAGGCAGCAGGUAUGUGAUGCUAACAGUGGGCUAACAAUGUUUAAAGAAAAUUAAAGAAAAGAAGAUCAGGAAGAAAAACAACUACAGCUGUGUAAGGCUACAAGAAGGCAAAAGUCUGCAAGCUAGGAAGAGGGCUGUCGCCAGAACCCAACCCACACUAACAGACUCCCGAGCCUCCAGAACUGUGAGAGAUAAAUGUCUGUUAUUUAAACCA